rnacentral:rRNA from 1 species
GUUGGGUAGGGGAGCGUUCUGUAAGCCUGUGAAGGUGGCCUGUGAGGGUUGCUGGAGGUAUCAGAAGUGCGAAUGCUGACAUAAGUAACGAUAAAGCGGGUGAAAAGCCCGCUCGCCGGAAGACCAAGGGUUCCUGUCCAACGUUAAUCGGGGCAGGGUGAGUCGACCCCUAAGGCGAGGCCGAAAGGCGUAGUCGAUGGGAAACGGGUUAAUAUUCCCGUACUUGGUGUUACUGCGAAGGGGGGACGGAGAAGGCUAUGUUGGCCGGGCGACGGUUGUCCCGGUUUAAGCGUGUAGGCUGGUUUUCCAGGCAAAUCCGGAAAAUCAAGGCUGAGGCGUGACGACGAGGCACUACGGUGCUGAAGCAACAAAUGCCCUGCUUCCAGGAAAAGCCUCUAAGCAUCAGGUAACAUCAAAUCGUACCCCAAACCGACACAGGUGGUCAGGUAGAGAAUACCAAGGCGCUUGAGAGAACUCGGGUGAAGGAACUAGGCAAAAUGGUGCCGUAACUUCGGGAGAAGGCACGCUGACACGUAGGUGAAGUGAUUUACUCAUGGAGCUGAAGUCAGUCGAAGAUACCAGCUGGCUGCAACUGUUUAUUAAAAACACAGCACUGUGCAAACACGAAAGUGGACGUAUACGGUGUGACGCCUGCCCGGUGCCGGAAGGUUAAUUGAUGGGGUCAGCGCAAGCGAAGCUCCUGAUCGAAGCCCCGGUAAACGGCGGCCGUAACUAUAACGGUCCUAAGGUAGCGAAAUUCCUUGUCGGGUAAGUUCCGACCUGCACGAAUGGCGUAAUGAUGGCCAGGCUGUCUCCACCCGAGACUCAGUGAAAUUGAACUCGCUGUGAAGAUGCAGUGUACCCGCGGCAAGACGGAAAGACCCCGUGAACCUUUACUAUAGCUUGACACUGAACAUUGAGCCUUGAUGUGUAGGAUAGGUGGGAGGCUUUGAAGUGUGGACGCCAGUCUGCAUGGAGCCGACCUUGAAAUACCACCCUUUAAUGUUUGAUGUUCUAACGUGGACCCGUAAUCCGGGUUGCGGACAGUGUCUGGUGGGUAGUUUGACUGGGGCGGUCUCCUCCUAAAGAGUAACGGAGGAGCACGAAGGUUGGCUAAUCCUGGUCGGACAUCAGGAGGUUAGUGCAAUGGCAUAAGCCAGCUUGACUGCGAGCGUGACGGCGCGAGCAGGUGCGAAAGCAGGUCAUAGUGAUCCGGUGGUUCUGAAUGGAAGGGCCAUCGCUCAACGGAUAAAAGGUACUCCGGGGAUAACAGGCUGAUACCGCCCAAGAGUUCAUAUCGACGGCGGUGUUUGGCACCUCGAUGUCGGCUCAUCACAUCCUGGGGCUGAAGUAGGUCCCAAGGGUAUGGCUGUUCGCCAUUUAAAGUGGUACGCGAGCUGGGUUUAGAACGUCGUGAGACAGUUCGGUCCCUAUCUGCCGUGGGCGCUGGAGAACUGAGGGGGGCUGCUCCUAGUACGAGAGGACCGGAGUGGACGCAUCACUGGUGUUCGGGUUGUCAUGCCAAUGGCACUGCCCGGUAGCUAAAUGCGGAAGAGAUAAGUGCUGAAAGCAUCUAAGCACGAAACUUGCCCCGAGAUGAGUUCUCCCUGAGACUUAGAGUCUCCUGAAGGAACGUUGAAGACGACGACGUUGAUAGGCCGGGUGUGUAAGCGCAGCGAUGCGUUGAGCUAACCGGUACUAAUGAACCGUGAGGCUUAACCUUACAAC